rnacentral:misc_RNA from 1 species
GCCGCAUAUCUGGCACGGCGCCUCCGCCCGCCGCGCCGCGCCGCCUCCUCCGCCGCCGCCCGCUCCUGACUCGCGGCGGAUCACCACCAGCUCGUUCCGGUUGUGCGAGCCGGCCACCAGCCCCGCGCUCGCCUCCAUCUCUGUCCACCGCCCCACCGGAUCUCGGUCGCGCACGGACCCCGCAGCGGCGGCACAACGAAAUGUACCUAGCUCUCGCCCUCCGCGGCCGCUCACAUGUGCAGGCAGCUGGGGGCGUGGAGGUGCUGCGCGCGGCGCCGCUCUGCGCUGCGCUGCGCUGCUCCUGCGCUGGUAUGAGCUGUGGGAUCGGUGGGUGGUGUGGUGGUAUAAUAGUACCGCGCCGCGUUGGCUUUGGUGCGUUGCUUGGGAAGCAGAGCAGCGCAACCCCCGCGUUGCUACCAGCUGCUGCUGAUUAGCGUGGUGGUGGCGGCG